UGGGGAAUUUUGGACAAUGGGCGAAAGCCUGAUCCAGCAAUGCCGCGUGUGUGAAGAAGGCCUUCGGGUUGUAAAGCACUUUUGUCCGGAAAGAAAACGCCGUGGUUAAUACCCGUGGCGGAUGACGGUACCGGAAGAAUAAGCACCGGCUAACUACGUGCCAGCAGCCGCGGUAAUACGUAGGGUGCAAGCGUUAAUCGGAAUUACUGGGCGUAAAGCGUGCGGAGGCGGUCCGCUAAGACAGAUGUGAAAUCCCCGGGGUUAACCUGGGAACUGGAUUUGUGACUUGCGGGCUAGAGUAUGGCAGAGGGGGGGAGAAAUCCACGUGGUACAGUGGAAUGCGGAGAGAUGUGGAGGAAUACCGAUGGGGGAGGCAGCCCCCUGGGCCAAUACUGACGCUCAUGCACGAAAGCGUGGGGAGCAAACAGG
rnacentral:rRNA from 1 species